UGAAAACCUCAACUCUCCUAGUAGAGACCUCAGCUUUUUGAACAUAAGAAAUUAUUUUGACAAAACAUAGAAUCCUUGCCUUUUAGGUAGACUUACUCAAAAAUAAAGAAAACCUUUUAUAAUCUCUUUAUCAAAAGCAGACGAGGGCCAGCCCCAGUGGCCUAGUGGUUAAGUUCAGUGCGCUCCACUUUGGCGGCUUGGGUUCAGUUUCCAGGCACGGACCCACACCACUUGUCAGUGGCCCUGCUGUGGUGGUGGCUCACAUAAAAAGAGGACGACUGGCAACAGAUGUUAGCUCAGGGCAAAUCUUCCUCAGCAAGAAAACCCAAAAAACACAAAAAAAGACAAAAAGUCCAAGAAAAAUAUCCUUUUAAGAGAGAGAAAGCUAAAUUCUAAUUUUCACACCAGCUUACUUUUGAUAUUAAAACUCAUUUACUUAAUUAAAUUCAUUUCAAUCUUAGCCAACUUGACUAUGCAAAAAACACUUUUUUUCAGGGUUCCUCUUCCACAAACCUUUGGAAGUUCUUUUUUACAUUCAGAAUUUGUCCUUUCUUCUUUCCCAUAACCAGUUUUAUUUUAGGACAAAUUUUCUUUCUUAACAAAAAUAUAUCUCUAUUCUUUAUAUCUUCUUUUACUGGAAACACGCAUCUCACUUUCCUUGUAUACAGAAAUGUUUCCCUUAUUCUUUUAUAUUAGUAUUCUGUGGACUGGCAGAUUUAUAAAUACCAUCUAGAAAGAUAUGCUUUCUCAGAAAAUUCCUCAGUGUGGCACAAAGCAUGUUUAUUAAUAAACCCAAUAUUUUAGCUUUUUCUAUAAUGAGAAGCCAAAAGUAGAUAAACCUUUAUUUAGUAAUUAAUGUCUAAUAUUUUAUCUUACUUUGAAAUGGUCUGGAUACUCAAUAAGUUAUCAUUGAACUUAAUUUAGCAAAACUUUAAGGUUUCAAGUUACCAAAAUAUUUUGAAGUUAUUUUUAAUUAUAUAUACCAUAACAUGUAAUUAUUGGUUAAAAAGUUCACCUAAAAACUCUUCAAUUUUACUUACAUCUAUUUAGUUUGCUUGCCCCUAAUAAUCAUAUUUAGGUUACCAACAAAAACUCCAUGAGUCAUCAGACAAAGUUAGCCAUCAAUUUUUUUCUGCUAAAUUUUGUAACAAAGAUAACAUGAAUUUGUUUGACUUUUAGUAACCCAGGUAGAACAAAAGUUUUAUAUUUAAUGUUGAUAGCUCUAAAGACAACAAACUUAAACUCUCUUUAAUACUGAAUAUUUUUCUAGAUCACGUGAUCCUGAAAUUUAUUUGGGUUAAUUUCUAUUAUAUUUAGAAGUAAUUUAUAUAAGCACUUACUUUAAGCCAAUUAAAUAGAACUCUUUUAGAACUUAUACCCUCUGGAGGUAGGAAAAUAUCACAUAUAUAUUAACAUACACAUAUGUAGACACACACACAUAGAGACCCCACAGCUAUUGUUUUGAAAUUACUGCCAUGAAUCAGGUUCAGGAAUACAAAGCUCACUAGUCACAAAACAAUUGAAUCCAAGUUUUGUUUCUGCAGGUGGAAUAAAUUAAGGUUAUCUGCUUGGAUGGCUAAAGCUUUUCUCUACUAAUAUUUGUGGAGAAGACACAAGAUACUAGAUUUUGGGCAAAAGUACUUCUAUAGCUGGUUUUUUUGUUUGUUUUGUUGUUGUUUUUUGGUCUCAGGAACUGGUGAUGGUUUAGAUAUCAGUUCCUGGAGAAGUUACAAGCUUUCUGAGAUAAACAGGAGAGAUUUUGGAGAUUGGUGAUGGGGAACGGGUGGAAUCUGAACUGCCUCUAGAGCUGCGUUUCCAGUUUUGCAAAGAUUUGUAAGGAGAAACUACGAGGCCUGCGUUGGUUAUCAGGAGCAGCUGAAUUUCAAAUUGUAAGAGAAUGUGGCCACUGGAAUAAAACAAAAGACUACUUGAGCUCGGAUAACACUCACCAAGAAACGUCCUUGAACACACAUCCCAGUGAAGACAGGAAAGAACCCCCCCUCCAAAGGAGCGAGGACAGAAA
ensembl:lncRNA